rnacentral:RNase_P_RNA from 1 species
GAGGAAAGUCCGGGCUCCAUAGGGCAGGGUGCCAGGUAACGCCUGGGGGGCGCAAGCCUACGACCAGUGCAACAGAGAGCAAACCGCCGAUGGCCCAGUAAUGGGAUCAGGUAAGGGUGAAAGGGUGCGGUAAGAGCGCACCGCGCGGCUGGUAACAGUUCGCGGCACGGUAAACUCCACCCGGAGCAAGGCCAAAUAGGGGUUCACAAGGUACGGCCCGUACUGAACCCGGGUAGGCUGCUUGAGCCAGCGAGCGAUUGCUGGCCUAGAUGAAUGACUGUCCACGACAGAACCCGGCUUA